rnacentral:rRNA from 1 species
AGUAACACGUAGGUAACCUGCCCAUGUGUCCGGGAUAACUGCUGGAAACGGUAGCUAAAACCGGAUAGGUAUACAGAGCGCAUGCUCGGUAUAUUAAAGCGCCCUUCAAGGCGUGAACAUGGAUGGACCUGCGGCGCAUUAGCUAGUUGGUGAGGUAACGGCCCACCAAGGCGAUGAUGCGUAGCCGGCCUGAGAGGGUAAACGGCCACAUUGGGACUGAGACACGGCCCAA